rnacentral:rRNA from 1 species
GAUGAACGCUGGCGGCGUGCCUAAUACAUGCAAGUCGAACGGCAGCAUGGAGAGCUUGCUCUCUGAUGGCGAGUGGCGAACGGGUGAGUAAUGCAUCGGAACGUACCGUGUAAUGGGGGAUAACGUAGCGAAAGUUACGCUAAUACCGCAUACGACCUGAGGGUGAAAGCAGGGGAUCGCAAGACCUUGCGUUAUACGAGCGGCCGAUGUCAGAUUAGCUAGUUGGUGAGGUAAGGCUCACCAAGGCGACGAUCUGUAGCGGGUCUGAGAGGAUGAUCCGCCACACUGGGACUGAGACACGGCCCAGACUCCUACGGGAGGCAGCAGUGGGGAAUUUUGGACAAUGGGGGCAACCCUGAUCCAGCCAUGCCGCGUGAGUGAAGAAGGCCUUCGGGUUGUAAAGCUCUUUCGGCCGGGAAGAAAUCGCACAGGCUAAUACUCUGUGUGGAUGACGGUACCGGCAUAAGAAGCACCGGCUAACUACGUGCCAGCCGCCGCUGUAA